rnacentral:rRNA from 1 species
AGCGAACGCUGGCGGCAGGCCUAACACAUGCAAGUCGAACGAAGUCUUCGGACUUAGUGGCGGACGGGUGAGUAACACGUGGGAACGUACCUUUUGGUUCGGAACAACUCAGGGAAACUUGAGCUAAUGCCGGAUGAGCCCUUAGGGGGAAAGAUUUAUCGCCGAAAGAGCGGCCCGCGUUAGAUUAGCUAGUUGGUGAGGUAAAGGCUCACCAAGGCUACGAUCUAUAGCUGGUCUGAGAGGAUGAUCAGCCACACUGGGACUGAGACACGGCCCAGACUCCUAAGGGAGGCAGCAGUGGGGAAUCUUGCGCAAUGGGCGAAAGCCUGACGCAGCCAUGCCGCGCGAAUGAUGAAGGUCUUAGGAUUGUAAAAUUCUUUUACCAGGGACGAUAAUGACGGUACCUGGAGAAGAAGCCCCGGCUAACUUCGUGCCAGCCGCCGCAGUAAGAC